CUGAUACACCAGGAUGUCGAGAUCACCCUGAAACACCCAGAAGCCCGAGCACAAGGGAGGCUGCGCAGCAGGCUCGUUUGGAACUGCAGCCUAGGCUGGCCUCAGAGUUGUGGGACAGUAACCCUUCCUCAGCCUCUGAAAUGCUGGGAUUACAGAUGUGAGCCAUCAUGCCUGUCUCUCUCCUGUCUGUACUUCAGGUAUCACACUCUUGGUUCGGGACCCCUCUCAGGAGGCAGGCCACAGGUCUGAAUCGCACGGUGAGGAAACUGAGCGCUCAUCUGUAUCCUUAGAAGAGGAAGUCUAAGCGGCUCAUUUGAAAUCUGGAAUUACACGACUUGGAGGCAGGUCAUUAC